rfam:Canis lupus familiaris chromosome 1, whole genome shotgun sequence.
GCCCGGCUGGCUCAGUUGGUAGAGCAUGUGACUUUGGAUCUCAGGGGCAUGAGUUCAAGCCUCACAUUGAGCA